AACAUGCUCCUUAGAUCCACCUCUGGAGGGCGCUGUUCUCUGAGCAGAGCUCCUCAUCAGCUUUCUGGCUGUACAGUUGGAGGUGCUUGAGUCAUUGGCAUGUGAGAAAAUUCUACCUGUCUCCCAGCCCAUCUGCUACACUGGCAACCUUGUUGUGAGACAAGGAGCUCCCAGUGCUGCAAGCCUGGGGGACGGACACU